rnacentral:rRNA from 1 species
UACGUAGGGUGCGAGCGUUAAUCGGAAUUACUGGGCGUAAAGCGUGCGCAGGCGGCGAGGCAGGUCGGGUGUGAAAGCCUCGGGCGCAACCCGGGAAUUGCAUUCGAAACCAUCUUGCUCGAGUGUGGAAGAGGGAAGCGGAAUUCCCGGUGUAGAGGUGAAAUUCGUAGAUAUCGGGAGGAACACCAGCGGCGAAGGCGGCUUCCUGGUCCAUUACUGACGUUCAGGCACGAAAGCGUGGGGAGCAAACAGG